GACGAACGCUGGCGGCGUGCCUAAUACAUGCAAGUAGGACGCAGUUGCGAACGGGUGAGUAACGCGUAGGUAACUACCUAUUAGUGGGGGAUAAAUGUUUGAAACGAUAGCUAAUACCGCAUACUAGUAGAUGGAACUGCGUUGGAUUAGCUAGGAGGUAGGGUAAUGGCCUACCUAGGCAACGCUACAUAGCCGAACUGGGACGGUGAUACGCCACACUGGGACUGAGACAAGGCCAAGGCUCCUACGGGAGGCAGCAGUAGGGAAACUUAGGCAAUUGGGGGAACCCUGAACGAGCAACGGCAGGGGAGGGAAGAAGGUUCUUGGAUCGUAAAGCUCUGUUGUUAAGGGAGCGGUACUUAAACAGAAAGGGACGGCUAACUACGUGCCAGCAGCCGCGGUAAUAC
rnacentral:rRNA from 1 species